rnacentral:rRNA from 1 species
AUACGUAGGUGACAAGCGUUAUCCGGAUUUACUGGGCGUAAAGGGCGUGUAGGCGGCCUUGCAAGUCAGAAGUGAAAUUCCUGAGCUCAACUCGGGCGCUGCUUCUGAAACUGCAGGACUUGAGUGCUGGAGGGGAUAGCGGAAUUCCUAGUGGAGCGGUAAAAUGCGCAGAUAUUAGGAAGAACACCGGUGGCGAAGGCGGCUAUCUGGACAGUAACUGACGCUGAGGCGCGAAAGCGUGGGGAGCAAACAGGAUUAGAGACCCUGGUAGUACACGCCGUAAACGAUGAAUACUAGGUGUAGGGGGUAUCGACUCCCUCUGUGCCGCAGUUAACACAAUAAGUAUUCCGCCUGGGGAGUACGGCCGCAAGGUUGAAACUCAAAGGAAUUGACGGG